UUUCCAGCAGAGGAUUUCCAGUUUCAGUCUCAGAGCCCCAAAAGCACAAGCACACACAUAUACAUGUGUGGCUACACAUAUACAAACACAAGUGUGAGCACACACACACACACACACACACACACACACACACACACACACACACACACACUGGAAACGGAUGAACAAAGCAAUUCAGCAUGCCCAGGAUUAUUCUUCAUCCUCCACUUGACGUUUAAAGAGACUCCUGUCCACUGGCUACUGGAUCCUGGAAUAGACACACUGAUAGGCAGUAGCUGAAGUGGACAGCACUGCAAAGUGGCCUGAUCAGAUUCCUCAGCCUCUAGGUCACUGGGCAGAACGGCGCCUGGCCUGGCUGGAGCCUCUGUUCCUCUCAUGUGACCUUUAGAGGUGUGACCAGUGGAUCUGCACUUGUGACUCUGGAAGCCUGUGCUGUGAGUGUCUGGGUAUGCUGCACACAGGCAAAGUAUAUGCUGGGCAUUCACUAACAACUAGACAAACUAGCAGCAAGUGCUCACAAAUACUUCUCCUUUCCUGUAUGCCCCCCCCUCUUUCCUUUCUUCAGAGACCCUGGUACUUGUGUUCCUCUGAGAAAGAAUAGAUGGGUAGGUGGGUGAGGUGCUUGUGUCAAACUGGAAAAUAUUCACCUUUAAAAUAAAGCUACUUUGGCCAUUAUGA